CCCUGAUCAGCAACGCCGCGUGAGUGAUGAAGGUUUUCGGACCGUAAAGCUCUGUCGAGCGGGAAGAAAUGCAUAGUGGCUAAUAUCCAUUAUGCUUGACGGUACCGCUAAAGGAAGCCCCGGCUAACUCCGUGCCAGCAGCCGCGGUAUUA
rnacentral:rRNA from 1 species